GCGAGUGAAGCGGCAAGAGCUCAGAUUUGGAAUCGUGUUUCGGCACGAGUUGUAAAUUGCAGGUUGGAGUCUUUGUGGAAGCGUGUGUCCAAGUCCCUUGGAACAGGGCGCCAUUGAGGGUGAGAGCCCCGUGGGAUGCGCGCGGAAGCAGCAAGGCCCUUCUGACGAGUCGAGUUGUUUGGGAAUGCAGCUCUAAGCGGGUGGUAAAUUCCAUCUAAGGCUAAAUACUGGCGAGAGACCGAUAGCGAACAAGUACUGUGAAGGAAAGAUGAAAAGCACUUUGAAAAGAGAGUGAAACAGCACGUGAAAUUGUUGAAAGGGAAGGGUAUUGGGCCCGACAUGGGGAUUGCGCAUCUCUGCUCCUUGUGGGCGGGGCGCUGUGCUUUUCCUGGGCCAGCAUCGGUUUUUGCCGCAGGAGAAGGGGUACUGGAAUGUGGCUCCUCGGAGUGUUAUAGCCAGUGCCAGAUGCUGCGUGCGGGGACCGAGGGCUGCGACAUCUGUCUCGGAUGCUGGCACAACGGCGCAAUACCGCCC
rnacentral:rRNA from 1 species